rnacentral:rRNA from 1 species
AUUCUAAAAACACUUUCCAGUACCUUUACUUUGUUACGACUUACUUAAUUAUAUAAAUUUUUAAUUUAUUAAUUAUUAAAUUAUAAAAUUAAAUUGACGGGCGAUUUGUACAUAUUUUCUAUUUUUAGCCAAAUUAAUUAAUUAAUUAAUUUUACUUUCAAAUUUUAAUUUUAAUUAAAUUAAAUUAAUAUUUUUUUAAAUUUAAAUUUAUUAUGUCUCCUUAUAUCUUAUUAAUCAUUUACAUAUUGAUCUGAAUAUUUUUUUUUUUCAAAAAAUUUAAAAAUUUUUCUUAAAAAAACUUUUUAACAACGAAUAUACAUAAAAAUUAUAUUAUAAUAAGUAUUUCUUAUCGUGUAAAGUCAAUUUUAUAAUAAGACCCUCUGAAAAAUUUAAAAUACUGCCAAAUUUAUUUAUUUAAUUAUUUAAAUUUACUAUAUUAAUUUUUUAUUUUAUUUUUUAUAAUAGGGUAUCAAAUCCUAGUUUAAUAAAAUUUUUCUUAAAUUUCAAUAAUAAAAAAAAAUCAUUAAUAUAUUAUAUUUUAUUAUAUAAAUAUUUUACUAAUUAUAUAAUAUUUAUAUACUUUAAAUUAUUAAUAUUUUUCUUUAUAUAUUUAAUUAAAAAUUAAAUUAAUUAAUUUUUAAUAAAGGGUUUAGCCGCUAUUGCUGGCACCACUUUUUAAUUUAUCUAUUAAAAUUUUACAAAUUUAAAAUUUCUUUAAUAUAUUAAUUUUAAUCAUUAAAAAAAUUAAUUUUAAUUUAAUUAAUUUUAAACUAAAA